UCUCGAAGGUGCUCUGAACAAACUAGCAGAGAAUCAUUCAGAAAAGUUCAAAAUUGCUAUCGCAAACAUCAAAUAUCUUGAAGAACAGGAGACCAAAGAGGACGGCCAUUGGUACACAGUUUUAGUGGUGCUCGGAAAUGGUGCUACAGCUUGAGAAAGCCAAAAAGGAUUCGUUAAAGAAGAUUGAAUUCG